rnacentral:ncRNA from 1 species
GCGAAGCGGCAGAUGCGAGGUGCCCCUAGCAGGGAGAAUCGGGAAGCCGGUGAGAUUCCGGCACAGGACCCGCUGCGGUGACCGAGACAGCCACUGACACUGCGCGUGCGCAGCCACUGGGAGACCGGGAAGGCGUGUCAGUGGGCUCGGAAGUCCGAAGACCGGCCUCGCAGCAACCGACGUG